AAUCCCCAGUGGUCGUGUUGGAUGAGAACCUGCGUUCAGGUUCGACAAAAUCGUCGGAAACGAUUUUGAACAGCGCUUGCGCUGGCCCGUAGGGCGAGGCCGAAGGCCGAGUCAAUCCUGCACGAACUCCAC
rnacentral:sRNA from 1 species